CCAGCCUCCCUCCCUCCCUCUCCUCCCCCCAUCUUAUUUUCCAUCCUCUUUCAACCAUCAUCCACUCAUUUUAAUUACGCAGAACGAGUUGCAACUCAUCCGCCUGGAAGUUAUAUUAAAAGGGGGAGGGGGAAGAGAAGAAGAAGAGAAAGAAAGACUCUGAGAGGGAUGGGAAUAGGAGGGGGGGGAGAGAGAAACAGAUGAGGGUGGAUUUGUGUGCUUAAAAGAUGGCACGAUAAACAACGCUCCUUGCCUCGCAGUAAAUUUUAAAGCAACAUUUUUAUUUUAAGCAUCCUCCUAUGUCAGCAGAAACUUUUGAAAGAAAUGCCUCUCUGCUCCCUUCCUCUCUCAUCCCCUCUGUUUGGAUGUGCCCUCCGUGAACAGCAGAAUUCAUCUUCAGAUGUGGUUUAUUUUUUUUUAAUGUAAAGACAGACGAUUUGGUUUUUUUAAAAAAAAUGAGAGGGAAAGAAAAACAAACCACACUGCAACUCACUGAUGCCUGUGAGGGAAGAACAAAGCUGGCGAGGUGUGGGAGUGAAGUAGUUGCCAUCGCUUUUAUAUUGUGCCUCCUCAUCUUUAUCAGCAGCCCAUAGGAGAUGUUUCCCUGACUUGGGUCUUCCACUUGAAAACAUUUCAUCUGUAAUUCACAAGAUAGGUCUGUUGCAUGAAAACAUUUGUAUCCAGGGAAAAGUGCUUGAAGGGGGCUUAAAAUCAAAAAGCAGCAUCAAAGACAUAAGACCCUGCUCUAACGUGGGUCUUCCUUAAUGGAACAUGUGGGCGUCAGUGGUGUUACAUCUUGCCAGUGUAUUACUGGUGAUGUACUUGCUCCAAGUCCUCUUUCUACAAUACCUUGGUAUAUUUGGAUCAGACAGCUGGCUUCUCUCCAAUGUCUCUAUAAUUCACAAGUGCCUUCCUACAAGUUGAAAGCUUCUUUCUUUAAUAUAUUUAUAAAAUAUCUGUAAAACAUUUUCUUGAGUGCCGCAUUCCAUGAACUUUUCCAAAGGGGGAAAGUUGAAGAAAAAGAGGCAGGUGCCGGCAGAGUAAAGGUACAGUGGAAAAAUCCUGAUGCCUCAUUGUUUCCUAACAUGAGCCUUAUUCUGUUCUUCUAUGUUGGAAGAAAGGCUGCUACUAUGAGGAAAACUUUGUGCCAUUUGUUUUGACAGUUUGAUAUAAAGGUGCCCCAUUUUGAAACUUUAUUAGUAAACAUUCAUUGGAAGUCUUUUUAAACAUUUUGAAAUACGUUUCUUGCUUGCCCUCCCUACCAUUUAAAGGGAGAGACUUUAAAGCUUUUCAAGUAAUCAGGGUAUCUUGGAUAAUGCAUAUGCCAAUGAUCAUGUUUAUGGGGAGCUAGGAAGUACCCUCACUUGGGGACAUGCUAUGAGCCCCAUUUUGAACAUGAAAUGUACAAAUGUCUUCCCUUUAGACUACUAUUGCUAUAGCAGAUUUUUAAAUUUAAGUUUAAAAAUAUCCAAUUUGGUAAAUGUAUACUAAGUUUCAGGGCUCUGUGUCUCUGGGAAGCAUUCUAUAUUAUCACAUAUACACAGAUAGCAACAUGCCCUCAUGCUUCUGAAUCUGUAGAAUUAAAUGUGGAGAUGAGACCUAAAGACUGUUUGACUCAAAGUAUCUUUAUUGAAAAUUCCAUGGAAUCAAUGGCAAAACUUCAGCUGUUGCAAUGAAACAUUUAUUCAGCAUUUCUUUCCCACAGUCUUUCAUUCUAAAUAUUUUGAGCUUUCUAAUACAUCCAUUAAAAGAUUGAAAAUGAACACUUGGGAUAACAUAUCCACUUGCCUUGCAGCAAGAAGAAAAUCAAUUUGGCCCCCAUCAAUGGCCAGAGGACCACAACUAGGAACCAGUCCCUUCCGGAAAGAGCUCUGCUGCAACGGUUGGUCAGUUGCUCUGUAGCUGCAAAGGCCAAGGGAAGGACAUCCUGGCCCACUGCCAGCUCCAUAAUUACAGUAAAUGUAUAGGAAAGCAAAGUAAUCAAACAUAUGGAGCACUACUAUAUGGUUAGUCUAUUGAAAAUGUUGAAAACUAAUGUUACAAUGCUUUCAGAGACACUCAAUAAGGUAAUCAACUUGGUUUUAAGCAUGUGCUUAAGGAUAUACAUAUUCCUGCAAACACACAACUUUCACCCCAAAACUUGUAGGAGUACCAACACAUACACAACUCCUAAAAUUGCAGGUUCCUUCUGUUUUAUGCAAAGAGGAAGAAAAACAUUAAAAUUUACAAAAAGUGAUGCAGUUCAUUGGCUUCAUGUGGGAGAAAUGAUGUGGUUAAACAUACACAAACAAACAAACAAACAUGCUCUGGGUUAUGAUUUACUUUGUUUCAAACUAGAGCUACAAGAUGUCUAGAGAAUUAUUUGAAACAUACAUAAAUCUCCUCCUAAGGUAAUAUAUCACCAACACAUUGAGUGACUGCCAACAUGUUAUGCCCUUCAGGAAAAAAAAUGUUAUUUGGAAAACUAAAGUUUUUUUUAAUACAAAAAAUGAAUUAAUUUCUUAGAACAGUAAUCCAAAAUCUUUUUCAAAAAAACUAUGCCAGAUGUUUUAGUAACAGUUUAUGAAUUGAUAUCAUUAUCAUUCCCUUAUAACCCAUGCCCCCCUCUCCAAACCCUCUUUUUCACUUACUAUAAAACAGUUACUUUAUCAUGAGAGAAUGCUACAAGCAUAUGAUAUAGCAACCAAAUGGAAAACAGAAGGAUCUUCCAUAUCCAUGCUGCUGCUGUGAGAAACAUUUGAUUUCCUUGGUAAACUGAGAGUGCCAGCCAAUGUGUUAUUUGCUAGAUAUUACUGAGUAUUGUUACUGCUUGCCCAUUUGCUACCAGGUCACAUUCAAAGUGCUACUAUUAUAUUAGUACUAUUAUAUUAUUCAUAAAGUAUGUAAAUACGCCUUUGUAUAUUUCUAAAUACCUGUUUUUUCCAAUAAUUUUAAUGUUUUGAUUUAAUGUAAACCAUGUAGAGGUUUAUUUUCAAUCAAGCAGUAUAUAAAUGUUGUUGAAUAAAAAGAAAAUAAAAAAACAGUUAUCCUUGAGACUAUCCAAAGACUAUGUUUACAUCCACAUUUUAAUCCAGCUCUAGAUGGGUAUUGUUAGGUGCUCCAGAAUGUGCAUAUGGAUGUGCAUCUAACUGACAGCUGUGUGGUAUGGACAAAU